rnacentral:rRNA from 1 species
GACGAACGCUGGCGGCGUGCUUAACACAUGCAAGUCGAACGGAAAGGCCUUUUCGGAGGGACUCGAGUGGCGAACGGGUGCGUAACACGUGGGUGAUCAGCCCUGCACUCUGGGUUAAGCCUGGGAAAGUGGGUCUAAUACCGGAUAGGACCGCACUUUCGUGCGGGUGGUGGAAAGUUUUUUGGGUGUAGGGUGAGCCUGCGGCCUAUCAGCUUGGUGGUGGGGGGAUGGGCGACCAAGGCGGAGGCGGGCAGCCGGACAGAGGGGUUGGUCGGCCACACUGGGACUGAGAGGCGGCACAGACGCCGACUGGAGGCAGAAGGGGGGAAUAUUGCACAAUGGGCGCAAGCCUGAUGCAGCGACGCCGCGUGGGGGAUGACGGCCUUCGGGUUGUAAACUCGUUGCACCAGGGACGAAGCGUUUUGUGACGGUACCUGGAGAAGAAGCACCGGCUAACUACGUG